rnacentral:rRNA from 1 species
GUGCCAGCCGCCGCGGUAAUACGUAGGGUGCAAGCGUUAAUCGGAAUUACUGGGCGUAAAGCGUGCGCAGGCGGCUUUGCAAGACAGAUGUGAAAUCCCCGGGCUCAACCUGGGAACUGCAUUUGUGACUGCAAGGCUAGAGUACGGUAGAGGGGGAUGGAAUUCCGCGUGUAGCAGUGAAAUGCGUAGAUAUGCGGAGGAACACCGAUGGCGAAGGCAAUCCCCUGGACCUGUACUGACGCUCAUGCACGAAAGCGUGGGGAGCAAACAGGAUUAGAUACCCCAGUAGUCC